rnacentral:rRNA from 1 species
UGCUCAGGCGGUUUAGUAAGUUAGAAGUGAAAUCCUAGGGCUUAACUCUGGAACUGCUUUUAAUACUGCUAAGCUUGAAUGUGGAAGAGGAUGAUGGAAUUUCUGGUGUAGCAGUGAAAUGCGUAGAUAUCAGAAAGAACACCAGUGGCGAAGGCGGUCAUCUGGUCCACUAUUGACGCUAAAGCACGAAAGGCUGGGAGCAAACA